UUAAGUCACCGAUCGCUCGGAUCGAGUUGUUGAGUAGUUCACACAUAACGAUUGAGAGACAAGUUUCGAUCGCCGAGCGAACGCCGAGUUCCUCCCGAGCCGGCAAGUCUAGCGCCGACCAGUUGUAGAGCGAAAAUCAGGUCAAAAGCAUGUAGUGUGAACUAGGUACAAGCUAACUGGAUGGGCUAUGACUUUGUAGCUCUUGGCCUUUAGGACUACACUGGCUACACCACGCAGGUCAGGCAGAGGAUCCUCAGGGCUGCCAGGAAAGAACUGGAAGUCCUGAAGUAGGUAUGCGGUAAAGAGAAAUAUUUCCAUUUUGGCCACAGACUCCCCGAGGCAUAGCCGAGCACCCCCACUAAAGGGUAUUAGGGCUCGAAGUGAACCCCCGCCUCCUUCCAAAAAGCGCUCUGAAAUAAAGAUAAAAGUGCCUUAAUAAAAUUA